rnacentral:lncRNA from 1 species
GCCAGACUCCACAAGGACUCUUUUGGAAAGCUCAGCCUCUGUGUCUGUUCUUCAAGCAAAGUGUGAUGCCCUGCCAGUGAGCGCCUUGUGCAGGUCCAGACGGAGAAGGCAAGCUGCUAAAAGACCUCCCCAUUGCUCACAGCAACAGUGUACUGAACCCUCUGCCCAUGCCAAGUAGUGGAACUCCACAGCACAGUAGAAUGGCAGGUGCUGGACACCAGGUCAGCUUGAGCUCAUGUUGGAAAGAGGAGUGGCGCUACCCCUGGUGGCUUGGAACAAACCAUCUCACUCCAGCAGCUUCUAGGGGCCCCCAGGGGAAGUGAAUGCAGCCACAUCAGCACACUGUUAAUCCCAGCUACCAAGCCAGUAUUGUGGGGCUGUGAUCAGCUGGGUUUGGUUGCAAGCAGCCCUGGUGCUGGGGCUGGUCU